rnacentral:lncRNA from 1 species
UAUAGUUUUAAUUGUAACAAAUCAAGGUUUUAAUUUGUUAACAAGGUCAAAAAAAAUUACAGGAUUUUUUUUAUGGGCUUUGGCCUUGUUCUAGCAAAUUGGUCCCAUUUUAGGAACAUGACAUCCAGUAAUUUGGCAUCUCUAUUUUGUCCACAAAACUUUAUUGGCAGUGACGCAUUUGAAAUAAACUGUUGUUGCUCUCUUUAUGAUCAUAAGGUUUUUAAUGUCAUUAUGAGUCUGAUCGUGUGCUUUCUCAUUUACUUCGUU